rnacentral:rRNA from 1 species
AAACCAACCGGGAUUGCCUUAGUAACGGCGAGUGAAGCGGCAAAAGCUCAAAUUUGAAAUCUGGUACCUUCGGUGCCCGAGUUGUAAUUUGUAGAAGGCGACUCUGGGGCUGGUCCUUGUCUAUGUUCCUUGGAACAGGACGUCAUGGAGGGUGAGAAUCCCGUAUGGCGAGGAUCCCAGUUCUUUGUAGAGUGCCUUCGAAGAGUCGAGUUGUUUGGGAAUGCAGCUCUAAGUGGGUGGUAAAUUCCAUCUAAAGCUAAAUAUUGGCGAGAGACCGAUAGCGAACAAGUACAGUGAUGGAAAGAUGAAAAGAACUUUGAAAAGAGAGUGAAAAAGUACGUGAAAUUGUUGAAAGGGAAGGGCAUUUGAUCAGACAUGGUGUUUUGCGCCCCUCGCCUCUCGUGGGUGGGGGAAUCUCGCAGUUCACUGGGCCAGCAUCAGUUUUGGCGGCAGGAUAAAUCCCUGGGAAUGUAGCUCUACCACUUCGUGGCGGACGAACUUAUAGUCCAGGGGAAUACUGCCAGCUGGGACUGAGGAAUGCGACUUUAGUCAAGGAUCGCAAUUAG